UUACGGCCACAUCACAUUGAAACGCUGAUUCCCAUACGAUCACCGAAGUUAAGCAACGUCAAGACUAGUAAGUACCUAGAUGGGUAACUGCUUCGGGAUAUGAGGUGCUGUAA